CAGACAGAGAGCCAGCAGUGCACCUGGAAUCUCCCCGAAUACUGAAGCCUUCCAUGGCACGUCUGCCCUCGAUUCCAUUAGUCCUGGGACCCCGUGCACUUCCUUCCCUUGCUGUGCCCAUCAGACAUCGCCUUAGCAGGUGAGAGAUCUGCAGCAGGGGAGUGUCGCAGGUGGAGCAGACACAUUCUCUCUGCUGGAGUGACAUGCCCAGGCGGGAGCGGCCGAUCAUCCCGACCAGCACAGAGUGGGAAACAGAACCACACUGCAGCUGUCUGUGGGGAGGAUGAGGAAGACCAAGGGGGACUCCCCGGGAGCUGAGGGCCAGCUCUCUGCUGUGGCCCGGGAGGGGAGUGGACGAUGGCCCAAGUGCUUGGGCCCUACACGCCAUGGGAGACCAGGAGAAGUAUCUGGCUCCUGACAUCGGAUCAGCGCGGUGCGCCGGCUGCAGCAGCCAUUGGAGGGUGAACCAACGGCAAAGGAAGACCUUUCUCUCUGUCUCUCUCUCCCUCAAUGUCCAC